rnacentral:rRNA from 1 species
UACGUAGCAGCGAGCGUUGUUCGGAGUUACUGGGCGUAAAGGGUGCGUAGGCGGGCGCGGUAAGUCGGGUGUGAAAUCUCGGGGCUUAACUCCGAAACUGCAUUCGAUACUGCCGUGCUUGAGGACUGGAGAGGAGACUGGAAUUUACGGUGUAGCGGUGAAAUGCGUAGAUAUCGUAAGGAAGACCAGUGGCGAAGGCGGGUCUCUGGACAGUUCCUGACGCUGAGGCACGAAGGUCAGGGAGCAAACGGG